UUGAGCUGUAUGCGAUGAAAGUCGCACGUACAGUUCUAAGAGGAUGUUAGGGUAGUAAUACGUAACGUAGCCUCAACAGACCCUAU
rnacentral:ncRNA from 1 species